AUGGAUCACGGCCUUAAGAUAGCUAUCUGGAACGUGCGCAGCCUCAAUGCGCGGGCUCGUCGCCAUGCCGUCCGAUCGCUCCUUGACACCACCGGGGCCUCCAUUGUAUGCUUGCAAGAAACGAAAGUGGAAUUGCUCUGUUCGUCUGUUGUCCUUGACACUCUUGGCUCGGAGUAUGACGACUACACAUACCUCCCAGCCAUUGGCACACAGGGUGGCAUCUUGCUAGCGUGGAAGAGCAGGGCCGUGUCCAUCACGGACCUAAUGUUCACCACUAACGUGAUCACCGCGAAGGUGUCCAUGACCACCGGAACGCCAUGGUGGCUUACGGUGGUAUAUGGCCCGCAGGACGAUGUCGACAAGAUCGCCUUCCUGCAGGAGCUCCGCGAGAUAAGGGCGGUUUGUCCGGAGCCAUGGAUUGUUUGCGGCGAUUUCAACCUCAUACUCCGCGACGAGGACAAGAACACGGGCAACGUCAACAGACGGAUGAUGGGAAAAUUCCGCCGCCUGACCAAUGACCUCGCGCUCAAGGAGAUUUACCUCAAUGGGCGACGCUACACUUGGUCGAACGAGCAGACCCCGCCGACCCUUGUGCACCUUGACCGCGUGCUCUGCACCUCCGACUGGGAAGACGCACACGGCGGAUGCCACCUUCGAUGCCUCGCGUCUGUCAUGUCCGACCACUCCCCGCUGCUGCUAGAUUGCUCGACGGUGCCCACCUCUCAUAGGCGAUUCCAUUUUGAGGAAUUCUGGCUACUCUUGGAUGGGUUCCAGGAGGUGGUGACCACGGCCUGGGGCUCCACAUACCACGCCGACCCCUUCCGUCGCCUCAUGCUACGGCUCCAGGCAACGGCGACUUGCUUCACGAGCUGGAGCUCCAAAUCCACGGGCAACAUCAAGGCCAAGCUAGCCAUCUCCCACGAGCUCAUCUCGCGCUUCGACAAGGCCCAGGAAUCACGCAUUCUCUCGCCCCCGGAGGCCUGGCUACGCAAGCAACUCAAGAUCUCCUACCUGGGACUUGCGUCCAUGGAACGCACGAUCGCCCGUCAACGCUCCCGCAUAGCCAACCUUUAA
rnacentral:rRNA from 1 species